rnacentral:rRNA from 1 species
AUUGAACGCUGGCGGCAUGCCUUACACAUGCAAGUCGAACGGCAGCACGGGUGCUUGCACCUGGUGGCGAGUGGCGAACGGGUGAGUAAUAUAUCGGAACGUACCUUAUUGUGGGGGAUAACGCAGCGAAAGCUGUGCUAAUACCGCAUAAUCCCUAAGGGGGAAAGCGGGGGACCGUAAGGCCUCGCGCAAUUAGAGCGGCCGAUACCUGAUUAGCUAGUUGGUGAGGUAAAGGCUCACCAAGGCAACGAUCAGUAGCUGGUCUGAGAGGACGAUCAGCCACACUGGGACUGAGACACGGCCCAGACUCCUACGGGAGGCAGCAGUGGGGAAUUUUGGACAAUGGGGGCAACCCUGAUCCAGCAAUGCCGCGUGAGUGAAGAAGGCCUUCGGGUUGUAAAGCUCUUUUGUCAGGGAAGAAACAGCAGCUCUAACACAGUUUGCGAAUGACGGUACCUUGAGUAGAUGACGGUACCCGCAUAAGAAGCACCGGCUAAC